UAGGGAGUCUUCGGCAAUGGACGAAAGUCUGACCGAGCAACGCCGCGUGAGUGAAGAAGGUUUUCGGAUCGUAAAACUCUGUUGUUAGAAGAACAAGGACGUUAGUAACUGAACGUCCCCUGACGGUAUCUAACCAGAAAGCCACGGCUAACUACGUGCCAGCAGCCGCGGUAAUACGUAGGUGGCAAGCGUUGUCCGGAUUUAUUGGGCGUAAAGCGAGCGCAGGCGGUUUCUUAAGUCUGAUGUGAAAGCCCCCGGCUCAACCGGGGAGGGUCAUUGGAAACUGGGAGACUUGAGUGCAGAAGAGGAGAGUGGAAUUCCAUGUGUAGCGGUGAAAUGCGUAGAUAUAUGGAGGAACACCAGUGGCGAAGGCGGCUCUCUGGUCUGUAACUGACGCUGAGGCUCGAAAGCGUGGGGAGCAAACAGG
rnacentral:rRNA from 1 species